rnacentral:piRNA from 1 species
UNGCUCAGGUUUUGGAUAGGUUGCAAUGU